GUGCUUGCUUCGGCAGCACAUCUACUAAAAUUGGAACAAUAUAGAGAAGAUUAGCAUGGCCCCUGUGCAAGAGUUUCUAAUGAGCUUAACAAUAAAAAAAUUAUUUU